rnacentral:tRNA from 1 species
GGCCCACUCGUCUAGUGGUUAGGACGCUGGCCUCUCACGCCGGUAACAGGAGUUCGAAUCUCCUGUGGGUCACCA